rnacentral:rRNA from 1 species
GAUGAACGCUGGCGGCGUGCCUAAUACAUGCAAGUCGAGCGAACGGACGAGAAUCUUGUUUUUCUGAUGUUAGCGGCGGACGGGUGAGUCACACGUGGAUAACCUACCUAUAAGACUGGGAUAACUUCGGGAAACCGGAGCUAAUACCGGUUAAUAUUUUGAACCGCAUGGUUCAAAAGUGAAAGACGGUCUUUCUGUCACUUAUAGAUGUAUCCGCGCUGCAUUAGCUAGUUGGUAAGGUAACGGCUUACCAAGGCAACGAUGCAUAGCCGACCUGAGAGGGUGAUCGGCCACACUGGAACUGGAACACGGGCCAGACUCCUACGGGAGGCAGCAGUAGGGAAUCUUCCGCAAUGGGCGAAAGCCUGACGGAGCAACGCCGCGUGAGUGAUGAAGGUCUUCGGAUCGUAAAACGCUGUUAUUAGGGAAGAACAUAUGUGUAAGUAACUGUGCACAUCUUGACGGUACCUAAUCAGAAAGCCACGGCUAACUACGUG